AAAGAAUUUCGGUUAUCGAUGGGGAUGCGUUCCAUUAGUUAGUUGGCGGGGUAACGGCCCACCAAGACGACGAUGGAUAGGGGUUCUGAGAGGAAGGUCCCCCACAUUGGAACUGAGACACGGUCCAAACUCCUACGGGAGGCAGCAGUGAGGAAUAUUGGUCAAUGGACGAGAGUCUGAACCAGCCAAGUAGCGUGAAGGAUGACUGCCCUAUGGGUUGUAAACUUCUUUUAUAUGGGAAUAAAACAGGGUAUGCAUACCCUCUUGUAUGUACCAUAUGAAUAAGGAUCGGCUAACUCCGUGCCAGCAGCCGCGGUAAUACGGAGGAUCCGAGCGUUAUCCGGAUUUAUUGGGUUUAAAGGGAGCGUAGGUGGAUUGUUAAGUCAGUUGUGAAAGUUUGCGGCUCAACCGUAAAAUUGCAGUUGAAACUGGCAGUCUUGAGUACAGUAGAGGUGGGCGGAAUUCGUGGUGUAGCGGUGAAAUGCUUAGAUAUCACGAAGAACUCCGAUUGCGAAGGCAGCUCACUGGACUGCAACUGACACUGAUGCUCGAAAGUGUGGGUAUCAAACAGGAUUAGAUACCCUGGUAGUCCACACAGUAAACGAUGAAUACUCGCUGUUUGCGAUAUACAGUAA
rnacentral:rRNA from 1 species